rnacentral:misc_RNA from 1 species
CCUUCUCCAAAUUAGGGUUUUUCUCUCUGGUACUUUAUCCUUCCAUUAUAAGGCAUAUGGUGGACAUUCACCUUUUGUUGGUAUUUUGUAUUACUGUUGCUGCCUAGGUUUUUCGCUUUGUUGCUUGCUGAUAAGGUUGUAAUUGAUUAAAUGCUUUUGUCUACAGUGUUUGGUUGACCUUCUAUGAAACCCAUAACUUAGAUGCACAAACUAUAUGGUAAUAAAAUCGAAUGUUGAUUGUCCACCAUAUGCCU